rnacentral:rRNA from 1 species
UACGGAGGGUGCGAGCGUUGUCCGGAAUUAUUGGGCGUAAAGAGCUCGUAGGCGGUUCGUUAUGUCGGAUGUGAAAGCCCUUGGCUUAACCGAGGAAGUGCAUCCGAAACUGGCGAGCUAGAGUACUAAAGAGGAUCGCGGAAUUCCCGGUGUAGCGGUGAAAUGCGCAGAUAUCGGGAGGAACACCGGUGGCGAAGGCGGUUCUCUGGGCCUGUACUGACGCUGAGGAGCGAAAGCGUGGGGAGCGAACAGG